UACGUAGGGUGCGAGCGUUAAUCGGAAUUACUGGGCGUAAAGCGUGCGUAGGCGGCUUUGUAAGGCAGAUGUGAAAUCCCCGGGCUCAACCUGGGAAUGGCAUUUGGGACUGCAAGGCUGGAGUGCGGCAGAGGAGACUGGAAUUCCUGGUGUAGCAGUGAAAUGCGUAGAUAUCAGGAGGAAUACCGAUGGCGAAGGCAGGUCUCUGGGCUGACACUGACGCUCAUGCACGAAAGCGUGGGGAGCAAACAGG
rnacentral:rRNA from 1 species